rnacentral:rRNA from 1 species
AGAGUUUGAUCCUGGCUCAGGACGAACGCUGGCGGCGCGCCUAACACAUGCAAGUCGAACGGAGCUUAGAGAGCUUGCUUUUUAAGCUUAGUGGCGAACGGGUGAGUAACGCGUGAGUAACCUGCCCUAGAGUGGGGGACAACAGUUGGAAACGACUGCUAAUACCGCAUAAGCCCACGGUGCCGCAUGACACUGAGGGAAAAGGAUUUAUUCGCUUUAGGAUGGACUCGCGUCCAAUUAGCUAGUUGGUGAGGUAACGGCCCACCAAGGCGACGAUUGGUAGCCGGACUGAGAGGUUGAACGGCCACAUUGGGACUGAGACACGGCCCAGACUCCUACGGGAGGCAGCAGUGGGGGAUAUUGCACAAUGGGGGAAACCCUGAUGCAGCGACGCCGCGUGGAGGAAGAAGGUUUUCGGAUUGUAAACUCCUGUCGUUAGGGACGAUAAUGACGGUACCUAACAAGAAAGCACCGGCUAACUACGUGCCAGCAGCCGCGGUAAAACGUAGGGUGCAAGCGUUGUCCGGAAUUACUGGGUGUAAAGGGAGCGCAGGCGGGAAGACAAGUUGGAAGUGAAAACCAUGGGCUCAACCCAUGAAUUGCUUUCAAAACUGUUUUUCUUGAGUAGUGCAGAGGUAGAUGGAAUUCCCGGUGUAGCGGUGGAAUGCGUAGAUAUCGGGAGGAACACCAGUGGCGAAGGCGGUCUACUGGGCACCAACUGACGCUGAGGCUCGAAAGCAUGGGUAGCAAACAGGAUUAGAUACCCUGGUAGUCCAUGCCGUAAACGAUGAUUACUAGGUGUUGGAGGAUUGACCCCUUCAGUGCCGCAGUUAACACAAUAAGUAAUCCACCUGGGGAGUACGACCGCAAGGUUGAAACUCAAAGGAAUUGACGGGGGCCCGCACAA